rnacentral:lncRNA from 1 species
AUGGUACAGCUGAUUCACGUUGUACGUACUUCAGAAAACGCCAAAGACCGACCACAGAAACCACAAAUCGGCGUCAAUCUGCUCAAAUGUUUGCCACAAAACGGGCAAAAGGCCACUUGCAUGUCGUCCAUCCUGCGUCACGAUGAAGUCCUUACCCGCUUUCGAUUCAGGUCAGUUUGGCCAUCAAUGUACAUCGCCAGCAAUGGAACAUGCCUGUUCUGCACACAAUACUGUGAUGGUUGCUCGUUCUGUUGUUUGAUAUCUGGAUCUUAGAGCCAAAAUUGUCCUUCGGACGCGUCUGUUCCUCACCAGACGGCGGGAUCGCAGCAAAAGAAUAUUAAAGAUAAUGAAAAGCAGUUCUGGAGCCAUUUUGUGAUGUAAAAUUCCUGUAUGUAAAAUUCCUGUAUUACUUAUAUAGAUAUUUGAGAAUGUACCAUCAUGUCAUGGCGCGAAAAUGUCACCGGACACUAAUUAUUUGAGAUAAUAAGGAAGUGUUAUGUUAUUGUUAUUGACAUUAAUAUUUUAAUCUAUUAUUAUUAUAUAAAGAUAUAAUAGGGUAAAAUAUUGCACUUUCAAAGAAACGAGCGCUGAAUGUGGUUGGGUAUGUUUCGGAUGGGUUAAAAUAAUUAAAUGGACCUGGCCACUUUUCCCGGGGAACGGGGAACGGUUCGUUAUUAUUAUGCGACAACAUUACGUCAUUUUACGUGCGCCGUAGUGUCCGAAAGCUAAUUUUGAAUUGAGUGCGCUACGUAGUUCACUCAAUCCAUGUCCCCCAUGUAGUGAGUAGUGAAUAGGGAACGAGUGUGUGGUUUCGGAAACAGCCACGGUCUCAUCCAAAGAUCUGUCCACAUCCCAACUGAGCAGGAACACUAUCACCCUCUCCACAAUCGACUUGACCUGGAGAGGAAAAAACACUGAUUUAGGAGGACCAACUGUUCCCACAAGUCCUAUAUUUACCAAAAAAUACUACAUUCACAUGUUCCUGUUGCCUUUCACAUAGUUUUGAGGCUCCAGUUGAUCCAGUUUCUAUCUUCCGUUGCAGUGUACUUUAACUCCAGGCUCCUCUAUUGUACUUUUACCCCUCCACAUUUCAGGCCAGUUAAUUUACUAAACAAUAAGAAGCAUAAUUUGUUAAUCACUGACGUAAAGACGCUCUGUUACCGAUAACAAACCACGUCUGGAUUCGACUGUGGUUCGUAAUACAUCAUCCACUGGCCACCACUCGUCAUGCAGGUAUACAGCCAAGACUGAGUUGUAAAACACGACACUUUACUGCUUGUCUUUCACGUCUGAUGGGGAUCACAAGUCUGGUUCCGGACCUUGUGUUGGGUCACCGGAGGGGUGAAGCGCCAACAGUGUGCAGUCAGCUCCACCAUCUUCAAACAGCUGCAAGCGCGUUACAUUGUUUACUGUUAUGGUUGUCUGAGGAAAAAAAGGACAGACUAGUUGGUUUUUUUAACCCCACAAUCAAGAGGAACAUUCUUGUGACUGAGGAUGCAAACUGGUCAUAAAAAGCAGUAAUAGGUGUUACCUUAUUGGUCGUGGAAGAUUGGAAUUCUUUAGUUUUAUGAGGUAUUUGCUCCAGAGAAGAGAGGUACUGUUCAGAUGCCAAUGUGAGAUCUGUGUCGCCCACAACUGGAAGGUCUACGGCAGGGGUCGGCAACCCGCGGCUCGAGAGCCGCAUGCGGCUCUUUAGCGCCGCCCUAGUGGCUCUCUGGAGCUUUAGCAAAUAUAGGGAAAAGAUGUGUGAAUAUAUUUUUUUGUUUUAAUAUAAUUUCUGUAGGAGGAAAAACAUGACAAACAUUCUUAAAGUUUUCCAAUGCUGUAAAAAUUUGUAUAAUAAAUAUUUAAUUUCCACAUCUCAUUAUAAUGGAAGUUAAACUUAAAGCACCACCGUACAGCAGAGUGGUCACGUGGUGCGUCAUUCGCUCCAGGAUGCUCGUUAUGUAUUUGUAGCCUAAUUAUCAUUUUGAUAGUAGGCUAAUAAAGCUAAUAUAGACACUUACAGCAUGUGUUGCCUUCAUUAUAAGGCAUUUCAGUUUUUGCGGCUCCAGACGGAUUUGUUAUUGUUUUCUUGGUCCAAUAUGGCUCUUUCAACAGUUUGCGUUGCCGGCCCCUGGUCUACGGGAUAUAUGGUGAUCUCGCCUGUGUACAGAUCACUUUCUUACACCUGCACAUGUAAUCAACAACCUGAAAAAAUGAUUUUAAUAAUCCCAUGACAGGACUGGAUGGAGAAUCCCCA